GUAGACGCCAUGAUGGAUGUGUCUGGUGUGGGUUUCCCAAGCAAGGUUCCUUGGAAGAAGAUGUCUGCAGAGGAGCUGGAGAAUCAGUACUGUCCCAGCCGAUGGGUUGUCCGACUGGGAGCAGAGGAAGCCUUGAGGACCUACUCACAGAUAGGAAUUGAAGCCACCACGAGGGCCCGGGCCACCAGGAAGAGCCUGCUGCAUGUCCCCUAUGGAGACGGCGAAGGGGAGAAAGUGGACAUUUACUUCCCCGACGAGUCAUCUGAAGCCUUGCCUUUCUUCCUGUUCUUUCACGGAGGAUACUGGCAGAGCGGAAGGUGAGUCGGGGGAUGUGGAUGGUGGACUGCAAGAGAGAUUCCACUUUCCCUGGGGGACUCCUCCUCCAGGGCUGCCGCAACCAAACUGCCACAAGCUGGGCACUCCUUGCAGGGCUGUGUCUCACAGCGCUGGAGAGCGGAAGUCUCAAGUCAAAUGUGGGCAGUUCCUAGGGAGGGUCCUUCCUGCCUCUCCAGCUUCUGGUGGCCUCAGACAGCCCUUAGCUUGUGUCUGCAUAGCUCCAGCCUCUGCCUCCAUUCACAUGUGAUCCUGGUGUUCCUGGGUCUCAAAUCUUCCUCUCUUUUUUUUUUUUUUUUUUUUUUUUGAGACAGAGUCUCACUCUAACCCAGACUGGAACGCAGUGGUGCGACCUCAGCUCACUGCAACUUCUGCCUCCCGGGCUCAAGCAAUUCUUCUGCCUCAGCCUCCCAAGUAGCUGGGAUUACAGGUGCACGCCACCAAACCCAGCUAAUUUUUGUAUUUUUAGUAGAGACAGGGUUUCACCAUGUUGGCCAGGCUGGUCUUGAACUCCUGAGCUCAAGUGAUCCUCCCGCCUUGACCUCUCAAAGUUCUGGGAUUACAGGCGUGAGCCACCACACCAGCCUCCUUUUUUUUUUUUUUUUAUAAGGUCAUAGUCACAGGUUCUGGGGUUAGGAUUUGGACAUAUCUUUUGGGGGGACACAGUUCAACCCACUACACCCAGUGAGAAGCAUGUUCAGCCUCCUCUUGAAUCAAGGGAAAAGCCAGAGUGACCAACCACUGUCCCAGUUUGCUUGGGACUGAGGAGGGGUUUCCCAGGACAUGGGGUUUUCAGUACUUUGGGAAAAAAAAAUGAGAGUCCCAGGUAAAAUGGGACAGUUGGUCACUGUAAGCUAAGCAGUGGGUAUUUGGGAAUUUGGGAUCUUGGCAGACACUGCUGUUCCCUAGGGUCUUCCUACAGAGUUGCCUUCAAGCAUGUUCAUGUUAAUAGCUUACAUUUAAUGGCCAGGUACGGUGGCUCACGCCUGUAAUCCCAACACUUUGGAAGGGCAAGGCGGACGGAUCACUUGAGGUCAGGAGUUCGAGACCAGCCUGGCCAACGUGGUGAAACCCUGUCUCUACUAAAAAUACAAAAAUUAGCUGGACGUGGUGGUGUGUGCCUGUAAUCCCAGCUACUCGGGAGGCUAAUGCAGGAGAAUCGCUUGAACCCAGGAGGCGGAGGUUGCAGUGAGCUAAGAUCAUGCCACUGCACUCCACCCAGGGUGACAGAGCGAGACUCUGUCUCAAAAAAAAAAAAA
rnacentral:sRNA from 1 species